AUUGAAACACUGGUUUCCAUAUGAUCACUGAAAUUAAGCAACAUUGAGCUUGGUCAAUACCUAGGUGGGUGACCACUUGGGAAUACCAGGUGCUGUAA